GGAUGAAGUGUUGGUAGUAUGCUUAACACAUGCAAGUCGAACGCAGCAAAAAAGUAAUCUGUAAAGAUUAUUUUGGAGUUGAGUGGCGAACGGGUGAGUAAUGCUUAUCUGCUUGCCGAUUAGUGGGGACCAUGGGAAACCAUGGGGAAUACCGCAUAUUCUGGUUUAGAUUUGGUUUCGACCAGGUUUAGGCCAGGAAAGGGAGUCGUAAGGCUCUCGCUAAUUGAGAGGGAUAAGUCGUAUCAGCUAGUUGGUGGGGUAAGGGCCUACCAAGGCAAUGACGCGUAGCCGGGCUGAGAGGCUGAUCGGCCACAGGGAAACUGAGACACGGUUCCCACUCCAUUAGGAGGCAGCAGUGAGGAAUAUUCCGCAAUGGACGAAAGUCUGACGGAGCGAUACUACGUGGAGGACGAAACUUGGCAACAAGCGUAAACUUCCUUUUGUUGUAGAAGAAGGAUUGAGUAAAAUCAAUCUUGACGGUAUACAUCGAAUAAGUCACGACUAACUAUGUGCCAGCAGUCGCGGUAAGACAUAGGUGGCGAACGUUAUCCGGAUUUAUUGGGCGUAAAGGAUGCGUAGAUGGUAAAAUAAGUUAUUGGUGAAUGCCAAGCUCAACUUAGCUGAAGCCAGUAAUACUGUUUUGCUAGAGAAUGGGAGAGGUUGAUGGAACUCUACGAGGAAGGGUGAAAUCUGUUGAUCCGUAGCGGACCACCAAAAAUGGCGAAGGCAAUUAACUAUUCCAUUUCUGACAUUGAGGCAUGAAAGCGUGGGGAGCAAACCGGAUUAGAUACCCGGGUAGUCCACGCCCCAAACGAUGAACAUUCGACAUUAGGCAUUCUGCUUAGUGUCCCAGUUAACACUUUAAAUGUUCCGCCUGGGUACUACGGCCGCAAGGCUAAAACUCAAAGGAAUUGACGGGAACCCGCACAAGCGGUGGAGCAUGUGGUUUAAUUCAAUACGAAGCGAAGAACCUUACCAAGGCUUGACAUGGGAGACAAGAACAGCAAUGUUAUUGCUUAAAUUAGAGAAAUCUAAUUGAAUCCCACAGGUGGUGCAUGGUCAUCGUCAGUUCGUGCCGUGAGGUGUAUGCUUAAGUGCUAUAACGAACGCAAUCCUUAUAUUUAGUUACUACCAUUCAGUUGAGGACUCUAAAUAGACUGCCAAGGCAACUUGGAGGAAGGUAAGGACGACGCUUGAUCCUCAUGCCCCUUAUGCCUUGGGCUACACACGUGCUACGAUGGUUAGGACAAAGGGUUGCCAACCCGCGAGGGGGAGCGAAUCCCAAAAAACUAACCUCUAUCGUUCGGAUUGGAGUCUGCAACUCGACUCCAUGAAGCCGGAAUCGCUAGUAA
rnacentral:rRNA from 1 species